AAUAAUGGUGCAUGGAAGGAUAGAAUAGGAUAUCAGUUCUAUUUUGUUGGUUUUCGGAGAGCGAGGUAAUGAUUAAGAGGGACAGACGGGGGCAUUCGUACUGUGCCGUUAGAGGUGAAAUUCUUCGAUCGGCGCAAGACGAACGACUGCGAAAGCAUUUGACAAGAAUGUUUUCUUU
rnacentral:ncRNA from 1 species